rnacentral:misc_RNA from 1 species
CUGAGCUUGAACUCUGGCAGGAAGCUUUUCGGUCGAUAGAAGAUAUUCAUGGAUUAAUGUGCAUGGUCAAAAAGACUCCUAAGCCAUCUUUGAUGGUGGUAUACUAUGCCAAGUUAACUGAGAUUUUCUGGAUGUCAUCAAGUCAUCUUUAUCAUGCAUAUGCAUGGUUCAAACUUUUUACACUUCAGAAAAGCUUCAAUAAGAACUUAAGCCAGAAGGAUUUACAGUUGAUAGCCUCGUCUGUUGUGUUGGCUGCGCUAGCAGUUGCUCCCUAUGACCACACUCUUGGCUCAUCUCAUUUGGAACUUGAAAAUGAAAAAGAGCGCAACUUGAGGAUGGCCAAUCUAAUUGGGUUUAAUCUAGACCCAAAACCUGAGAGUAGGGAAGUGCUGUCAAGGUCAUCCCUUCUGUCUGAACUGGUUUCCAAAGGUGUAUUGAGCUG